GAAACCUGGUUGAUCCUGCCAGUAGCAUACGCUUGUCUCAAAGAUUAAGCCAUGCAUGUCUAAGUAUAAACGACUUUAUACUGUGAAACUGCGAAUGGCUCAUUAUAUCAGUUAUAGUUCAUUUGAUGGUCCUUGCUACUUGGAUAACCGUAGUAAUUCUAGAGCUAAUACAUGCAUCAAGCCCCGACUGUUUG
rnacentral:rRNA from 1 species